rnacentral:rRNA from 1 species
GCACCUUCGGGUGUGAAUUAGCGGCGAACGGGUGAGGAACACGUGAGAAAUCUGCCUUCAACACUGGGAUAACUCCGGGAAACCGGGGCUAAUACCGGAUAUGAAACCUGCGGGCAUCCGCGGGUUUGGAAAGUUUUUCGGUUGAAGAUGAUCUCGCGGCCUAUCAGCUUGUUGGUGAGGUAAUGGCUCACCAAGGCGACGACGGGUAGCCGGCCUGAGAGGGCGACCGGCCACACUGGGACUGAGACACGGCCCAGACUCCUACGGGAGGCAGCAGUGGGGAAUAUUGGGCAAUGGAGGAAACUCUGACCCAGCGACGCCGCGUGCGGGAUGAAGGCCUUCGGGUUGUAAACCGCUUUCAGCAGGGAAGAAGCGAAAGUGACGGUACCUGCAGAAGAAGCACCGGCUAACUAUGUGCCAGCAGCCGCGGUAAUACAUAGGGUGCAAGCGUUGUCCGGAAUUAUUGGGCGUAAAGAGCUCGUAGGUGGUUCGUCACGUCGGAUGUGAAACUCUGGGGCUUAACCCCAGACCUGCAUUCGAUACGGGCGAGCUUGAGUAUGGUAGGGGAGUCUGGAAUUCCUGGUGUAGCGGUGGAAUGCGC